rnacentral:rRNA from 1 species
GAUGAACGCUGGCGGCGUGCCUAACACAUGCAAGUCGAGCGAUUCUCUUCGGAGAAGAGCGGCGGACGGGUGAGUAACGCGUGGGUAACCUGCCCUGUACACACGGAUAACAUACCGAAAGGUAUGCUAAUACGAGAUAAUAUGCUUUUAUCGCAUGGUAGAAGUAUCAGAGCUCCGGCGGUACAGGAUGGACCCGCGUCUGAUUAGCUAGUUGGUAAGGUAACGGCUUACCAAGGCGACGAUCAGUAGCCGACCUGAGAGGGUGAUCGGCCACAUUGGAACUGAGACACGGUCCAAACUCCUACGGGAGGCAGCAGUGGGGAAUAUUGCACAAUGGGCGAAAGCCUGAUGCAGCAACGCCGCGUGAGCGAUGAAGGCCUUCGGGUCGUAAAGCUCUGUCCUCAAGGAAGAUAAUGACGGUACUUGAGGAGGAAGCCCCGGCCAACUACGUGCCAGACGCCGCGGUAA